UUAAUCUUCUCAAAAACAAAU
rnacentral:piRNA from 1 species